rnacentral:rRNA from 1 species
GAUGAACGCUGGCGGCGUGCCUAAUACAUGCAAGUCGAGCGAACGGACGAGAAGCUUGCUUCUCUGAUGUUAGCGGCGGGCGGGUGAGUAACACGUGGAUAACCUACCUAUAAGACUGGGAUAACUUCGGGAAACCGGAGCUAAUACCGGAUGAUAUUUUGAACCGCAUGGUUCAAAAGUGAAAGACGGUCUUGCUGUCACUUAUAGAUGGAUCCGCGCUGCAUUAGCUAGUUGGUAAGGUAACGGCUUACCAAGGCAACGAUGCAUAGCCGACCUGAGAGGGUGAUCGGCCACACUGGAACUGAGACACGGUCCAGACUCCUACGGGAGGCAGCAGUAGGGAAUCUUCCGCAAUGGGCGAAAGCCUGACGGAGCAACGCCGCGUGAGUGAUGAAGGUCUUCGGAUCGUAAAACUCUGUUAUUAGGGAAGAACAUAUGUGUAAGUAACUGUGCACAUCUUGACGGUACCUAAUCAGAAAGCCACGGCUAACUACGU